rnacentral:rRNA from 1 species
GAUGAACGCUGGCGGCGUGCCUAAUACAUGCAAGUCGAGCGAACAGACGAGGAGCUUGCUCCUCUGACGUUAGCGGCGGACGGGUGAGUAACACGUGGAUAACCUACCUAUAAGACUGGGAUAACUUCGGGAAACCGGAGCUAAUACCGGAUAAUAUAUUGAACCGCAUGGUUCAAUAGUGAAAGACGGUUUUGCUGUCACUUAUAGAUGGAUCCGCGCCGCAUUAGCUAGUUGGUAAGGUAACGGCUUACCAAGGAAACGAUGCGUAGCCGACCUGAGAGGGGGAGGGCCCACUGGGAAUGAGACACGGGGCCCAGACCCCCGGGGGGGGGAAGUAGAGGAUAUUCUCCGAAAGGGGAAAGACCCAGAGGGAAAAACCGCGGGUGUGAAGAAGGGUUCUUGGGCUUAAAAAACUCUUUUAAGAGGAGAAAAAAAAUGGGAGAGGAAAUUUCACCCUUUGGAGGUAACUGAACAGAAAAGCACGGGUAACUAAGUG